UCCCCCUUAGCUCAGUUGGUUAGAGCGACGGGGGAGCCAAUCGCAGGUCCCCCGUUCGAGUCGGGGAGGGGGAGCCA
rnacentral:tRNA from 1 species